UACAGAGGUCUCAAGCGUUGUUCGGAUUCAUUGGGCGUAAAGGGUGCGUAGGCGGCGCGGUAAGUCGGGUGUGAAAUUUCGAGGCUUAACUUCGAAACUGCAUUCGAUACUGCCGUGCUAGAGGACUGGAGAGGAGACUGGAAUUUACGGUGUAGCGGUGAAAUGCGUAGAUAUCGUAAGGAAGACCAGUGGCGAAGGCGGGUCUCUGGACAGUUCCUGACGCUGAGGAGCGAAAGCGUGGGGAGCGAACAGG
rnacentral:rRNA from 1 species